rnacentral:rRNA from 1 species
AACGAACGCUGGCGGCAUGCCUAACACAUGCAAGUCGAACGAGACCUUCGGGUCUAGUGGCGCACGGGUGCGUAACGCGUGGGAACCUGCCUUUAGGUUCGGAAUAACUCAGAGAAAUUUGAGCUAAUACCGGAUGAUGUCUUCUGACCAAAGAUUUAUCGCCUUUGGGUGGGCCCGCGUUGGAUUAGCUUGUUGGUUGGGUAAAGGCCUACCAAGGCGACGAUCCAUAGCUGGUCUGAGAGGAUGAUCAGCCACACUGGGACUGAGACACGGCCCAGACUCCUACGGGAGGCAGCAGUGGGGAAUAUUGGACAAUGGGCGAAAGCCUGAUCCAGCAAUGCCGCGUGAGUGAUGAAGGCCUUAGGGUUGUAAAGCUCUUUUACCCGAGAUGAUAAUGACAGUAUCGGGAGAAUAAGCUCCGGCUAACUCCGUG